rnacentral:rRNA from 1 species
UACGUAGGGGGCUAGCGUUGUCCGGAAUCAUUGGGCGUAAAGAGCGUGUAGGCGGUCCGGUAAGUCCGCUGUGAAAGUCGGGGGCUCAACCCUCGAAUGCCGGUGGAUACUGUCGGGCUCGAAUCCGGAAGAGGUGAGUGGAAUUCCUGGUGUAGCGGUGAAAUGCGUAGAGAUCGGAAAAGAACACCAAUGGCGAAAGCACUCUGCUGGGCCGACACUGACACUGAGAGACGAAAGCUAGGGGAGCAAAUGGG